rnacentral:misc_RNA from 1 species
AACCUCACUCCACUUGGGUUUUUGCCUGAGUGGUGGUGUAUUGGGUGUUGCCUUGCUAAAGGCUCGCCUUAAAAGUAUAAGCGCCUUGGAUGUAAUACGUUUCAUCCUUUCGGGUGGCUGAUAACCCCACAUAUCUCAUG